CUACGGGACGCACCAGUGGGGAAUAUUGCACAAUGGGGGAAACCCUGAUGCAGCAACGCCGCGUGGAGGAUGACACAUCUCGGUGCGUAAACUCCUUUUAUAGGUCAAGAUAAUGACGGUAGCCUAUGAAUAAGCGCCGGCUAACUCCGUGCCAGCAGCCGCGGUAAUACGGAGGGCGCAAGCGUUACUCGGAAUCACUGGGCGUAAAGAGCAUGUAGGCGGGUUAAUAAGUCAGAAGUGAAAUCCAAUAGCUCAACUAUUGAACUGCUUUUGAAACUGUUAACCUAGAGUGUGGGAGAGGUAGAUGGAAUUUCUGGUGUAGGGGUAAAAUCCGUAGAGAUCAGAAGGAAUACCGAUUGCGAAGGCGAUCUACUGGAACAUUAUUGACGCUGAGACGCGAAAGCGUGGGGAGCAAACAGGAUUAGAUACCCUCGUAGUC
rnacentral:rRNA from 1 species